GCUCCAAGCAGAACGCCUCCCUGGCCAUUGCCAAGGAUGAGGGGGCCAUGGAUUUGCUCUUCCGCCUCCGCGGGAACGGCGAUUACUGGCUCGGGCUGCGCAGACGGGGCCAGCGCCUGCACUGGGGGGACGGCAGCAGCUACAGCUCCCGGGUUCCUGUCCUCGGCAAUUCCGACUGCGUGUACCUGGCUGACGAUAAAUUCAGGAGCGAGUUCUGCUCCAAUCCGCGGCCGUAUCUCUGCAGCAAGGCCCAAGCUCCCCUGUGACGGGGGCUGCAGAAAGGACCUUCUCCACGCUGGGCAGUGCCAGCUUCCCCUCUCAGCGCAGCCCAGGGCUGUCCUUCCUCAGCUGCACCCUGUGCCUUGCACUGCCUCUCAGGGUCACCUCAGUGCCUGUCCAUCCCCAGAGCCAGCGCUGGGCUGGGGCUGCAAAGGAAACGUCUCUGCAAUCCAUCCUGCCACCCAUGCUGCCUGCAGGGUGUGCAGUGCCCUCAUUAUGUGAGAGAGACACGGCUCAGUAUUUACUCUUUUUAUAAGAGUCUGUUAAGCGUUAAAAUCCCAUCCUGGCAUACUUGGCUUUUUGCUCAUAGGUAACUUGAAUGAUAUUCUGUGUGCAGUGACAUGGAGCAUGCAUGUUUAUCAAGUUUUUAAUAAUUCAAGUGUAACAGUGAAUUUCUAUCAUGUUUUGCUAGUUUUUAAGUUAUGACUUGCGUUAGGCUAUUUUGUACAAUAAACUAAUAUAUUUUCUUUU